rnacentral:tRNA from 1 species
GCUUCGAUGGCGCAGUGGUAGCGCAGUGGUCUCAUACUAUUCAUGAGGAGUCUGAAUUUUCAAACAUCCAAAUUGUAGAAAUGCCAUCCAAAGGUCGUGAGUUCGACCCUCACUCGGAGCA